UGUUAGUUUUUUAUCUCAUAUGGUGGAAUGAGUUUGACCUUCCUUAGUUAUUUGAGCCUACAAACGAGAGUAGCUAGCUGAUUCCUUCAAUUGGCUCUUCCAUUUUCAUUCUCUUCUUCAUUUUCUUCACAUCCCAAGAUGAUAUCACUGACAUGAAGAAUGUGGGAGUUGUGGUCAUAAGAAUUGAUGAAUGAGGGGAAUACGAUUUUGAUGGUUGAACCCAAGUCUUCCAUUGGCAAUUGACGAAGGAUUAUCGAUGCAUUCAAUGUCUAGACCACAAACACAACUAAGUUGGAGUUAAUUGGAGUUUUGAUAUCAAUAUUUUGUAAUUUGUAACGUUUAUAUAUGAUAAGCAUUGCUAUA